UGAGCGGAUGAACUGAGGGUAGCGGAGAAAUUCCAAUCGAACCUGGAGAUAGCUGGUUCUCUCCGAAAUAGCUUUAGGGCUAGCCUCAAGUGAUGAUUAUUGGAGGUAGAGCACUGUUUGGACGAGGGGCCCCUCUCGGGUUACCGAAUUCAGACAAACUCCGAAUGCCAAUUAAUUUAACUUGGGAGUCAGAACAUGGGUGAUAAGGUCCGUGUUCGAAAGGGAAACAGCCCAGACCACCAGCUAAGGUCCCAAAAUAUAUGUUAAGUGGAAAAGGAUGUGGCGUUGCCCAGACAACUAGGAUGUUGGCUUAGAAGCAGCCAUCAUUUAAAGAGUGCGUAAUAGCUCACUAGUCGAGUGACACUGCGCCGAAAAUGUACCGGGGCUAAACAUAUUACCGAAGCUGUGGAUUGUCCUUUGGACAAUGGUAGGAGAGCGUUCUAAGGGCGUUGAAGCAUGAUCGUAAGGACAUGUGGAGCGCUUAGAAGUGAGAAUGCCGGUGUGAGUAGCGAAAGACGGGUGAGAAUCCCGUCCACCGAUUGACUAAGGUUUCCAGAGGAAGGCUCGUCCGCUCUGGGUUAGUCGGGUCCUAAGCUGAGGCCGACAGGCGUAGGCGAUGGAUAACAGGUUGAUAUUCCUGUACCACCUAUAAUCGUUUUAAUCGAUGGGGGGACGCAGUAGGAUAGGCGAAGCGUGCGAUUGGAUUGCACGUCUAAGCAGUAAGGCUGAGUAUUAGGCAAAUCCGGUACUCGUUAAGGCUGA
rnacentral:rRNA from 1 species